rnacentral:rRNA from 1 species
UACGGAAGGCAGCAGUGGGGAAUAUUGCACAAUGGGCGAAAGCCUGAUGCAGCUAUGCCGCGUGUAUGAAGAAGGCCUUAGGGUUGUAAAGUACUUUCAUCGGGGAGGAAAAAACAAAACUAAUAAUUUUAUUUCUUGACGUUACCCGAAAAAGAAGCACCGGCUAACUCCGUGCCAGCAGCCGCGGUAAUACGGAGGGUGCUAGCGUUAAUCAGAAUUACUGGGCGUAAAGAGCACGUAGGUGGUUUUUUUAAAGUCAGAUGUGAAAUCCCUGGGCUUAACCUAGGAACUGCAUUUUGAAACUGAAAUACUAGAGUAUCGUAGAGGGAGGUAGAAUUCUAGGUGUAGCGGUGAAAUGCGUAGAUAUCUGGAGGAAUACCUGUGGCGAAAGCGGCCUCCUAAACGAAUACUGACACUGAGGUGCGAAAGCGUGGGGAGCAAACAGGGAUUAGAUACCCGU